rnacentral:tRNA from 1 species
UCCCUGGAGGACUAGUGGUUAGGCCACAGUGCUCUCACCACUGCAGCCCAGGUUUGAUUCCCAGCCAGGGAA